GGACUGGCCAAAAAAAAAAAAAAAAUGAUAGAGAGAGCGAGAGAAGGAAUUGAGAUUUGGGAAAUGGGAAUAGGGAGCCAGCCUGAGAACAAAUCAUGGAAUCUGGGUGACAGUGUGUAAAAGCACUAAUAACUCUUAGGGGCCCAGGCCUGGCGGAGGAGACUAGAGAGUCUGAUGGAAUUCUAGCUGAACAAAGGGGCUUGUCAGGGCUGGGAAUAUGGCUUAGCAGUAGACUGCAUGCCUGCCUAGCAUGCAUGAAGCCCUGGGUUCGAUUUCUCAGUACCACAUAAACAGUAAAGGCUGGAAGUGGUGCU